UUAAAUUGAAGAGUUUGAUCAUGGCUCAGAUUGAACGCUGGCGGCAGGCCUAACACAUGCAAGUCGAACGGUAACAGGAAGCAGCUUGCUGCUUUGCUGACGAGUGGCGGACGGGUGAGUAAUGUCUGGGAAACUGCCUGAUGGAGGGGGAUAACUACUGGAAACGGUGGCUAAUACCGCAUAACGUCGCAAGACCAAAGAGGGGGACCUUCGGGCCUCUUGCCAUCAGAUGUGCCCAGAUGGGAUUAGCUUGUUGGUGAGGUAACGGCUCACCAAGGCGACGAUCCCUAGCUGGUCUGAGAGGAUGACCAGCCACACUGGAACUGAGACACGGUCCAGACUCCUACGGGAGGCAGCAGUGGGGAAUAUUGCACAAUGGGCGCAAGCCUGAUGCAGCCAUGCCGCGUGUAUGAAGAAGGCCUUCGGGUUGUAAAGUACUUUCAGCGGGGAGGAAGGUGUUGUGGUUAAUAACCGCAGCAAUUGACGUUACCCGCAGAAGAAGCACCGGCUAACUCCGUGCCAGCAGCCGCGGUAAUACGGAGGGUGCAAGCGUUAAUCGGAAUUACUGGGCGUAAAGCGCACGCAGGCGGUCUGUCAAGUCGGAUGUGAAAUCCCCGGGCUCAACCUGGGAACUGCAUUCGAAACUGGCAGGCUUGAGUCUUGUAGAGGGGGGUAGAAUUCCAGGUGUAGCGGUGAAAUGCGUAGAGAUCUGGAGGAAUACCGGUGGCGAAGGCGGCCCCCUGGACAAAGACUGACGCUCAGGUGCGAAAGCGUGGGGAGCAAACAGGAUUAGAUACCCUGGUAGUCCACGCCGUAAACGAUGUCUACUUGGAGGUUGUGCCCUUGAGGCGUGGCUUCCGGAGCUAACGCGUUAAGUAGACCGCCUGGGGAGUACGGCCGCAAGGUUAAAACUCAAAUGAAUUGACGGGGGCCCGCACAAGCGGUGGAGCAUGUGGUUUAAUUCGAUGCAACGCGAAGAACCUUACCUGGUCUUGACAUCCACAGAACUUUCCAGAGAUGGACUGGUGCCUUCGGGAACUGUGAGACAGGUGCUGCAUGGCUGUCGUCAGCUCGUGUUGUGAAAUGUUGGGUUAAGUCCCGCAACGAGCGCAACCCUUAUCCUUUGUUGCCAGCGGUUAGGCCGGGAACUCAAAGGAGACUGCCAGUGAUAAACUGGAGGAAGGUGGGGAUGACGUCAAGUCAUCAUGGCCCUUACGACCAGGGCUACACACGUGCUACAAUGGCGCAUACAAAGAGAAGCGACCUCGCGAGAGCAAGCGGACCUCAUAAAGUGCGUCGUAGUCCGGAUUGGAGUCUGCAACUCGACUCCAUGAAGUCGGAAUCGCUAGUAAUCGUGGAUCAGAAUGCCACGGUGAAUACGUUCCCGGGCCUUGUACACACCGCCCGUCACACCAUGGGAGUGGGUUGCAAAAGAAGUAGGUAGCUUAACCUUCGGGAGGGCGCUUACCACUUUGUGAUUCAUGACUGGGGUGAAGUCGUAACAAGGUAACCGUAGGGGAACCUGCGGUUGGAUCACCUCCUUACCUUAAAGAA
rnacentral:rRNA from 1 species